UCUUAUGAUGAAUGGCAGCACUGGGCUCCGAAAACUUUUCAUGAGCGAUAUGCCACAUUGCGGCAGGCCUAGAAAACCUCGCCCACUGAAC
rnacentral:snoRNA from 1 species